UUUUAAAAUUCAGCUAUUGAAAGUGACAGCCAGGGAGCUUACCUGCGGAAUCGCUUGGUUUAUAAACAUGUUUAAAGGCCAGUUUUACAAGGAUAAAUGGUUCUAAGUAGUUGUUUUGGAUCACAAGCUCCUGAGCCCUUGAUUUAAUUCAAAAGAAGGCCAGACAGAUAGAAAGACAGAAAAUGGCAAGGCACUGAGGCUCUUUUAGUCUCAAAACAACAAAGCAAAACAACAACCUAACCAAUUCAAUCCAACAGGAGAAUCUUGGGGACAUACUCUGUACGCUGGUGGUUGCAAAGAAACCACAUUACUCUCCUAAAAUCAACAUGGCUGAUUAGAAAGGACAUCUUGAUGGCAUGAGCUUUUCAGCGUUUGAACAGACUGCAUCAAGCUUUGGUGAGAGAAACUACAGUGAAUAAUAAUUGUUCAAGGUGAUUCACUGAGUCCACGAGCAGAAGGAACUAAACCCAGGAUCCCUGCCAUUCUCCCCCCCCCCGUUUGUGUUUGUGAUGUGCUGCUGUUGCAUCUGAUUUACUGUGACCCUAGUAGGAUUUUGAAGGCUCCAGCUCGAGAGCUCCACAUGACGGACAGAUGGGACAUGGGCAUUCCACCACAGAUUGAUAUAGCCUGGCAUCCCUUUGACAGUGUCACCGUUCAAAUACUGCUCCAGAGAAACCACUGCAUUGUGUAUCUGUUUUGGUCUCUUUUGGUCUCUUGGUCACCUGAAUCUACUCAUAACAAAACAAAAACUCAGAGAAAGUGCUGAAGAUAACUUUGUCAAAAUGUUAAUCUGCCUACUUCUACAUUUUUAAAGCUUUUGGCUGGUGGUUUUUGUUUAAGACCACGGAGGAGACUAUAGCCAUGCAUCAGUAUGCCUGCUGUUAGAACAUUUACCUUAUCUUAGGAGUAGUAAGGAAUGAUGAAGAGAGGAGGUAGCUGGAUGCUUUCUCCGGAUGUUCUACUACAUUUCUAUUUUUGUUGCACUGAAAUGUCAACUUCCCAUUUUCAGUAGUGAACACAAGUCCUGAGUAUUCUUGAAAAUCAUGGAAGUGUCCCACCCAGAGCAGUUUGUAUGUAGAAGCCUUUCUGGCAUUACAGUUUCUGACAGGAAAUUGGGGAGAGACUUAGUACUCUAGGUAAGGAGCAUCCUCAAUUAAAUUGAAAUACAAGCAUGGAAGGUCAAAGAUACAGCAACAAGAUGUCCACAUUAUCUUUGGAACAGGCUCAGGAAACAGGUUCAGAAAGCAAGAGAAAAAUGCAUUUUAAAAUAAAGAAAUAAAUAA